AAUGAACGUUGGCGGCAUGGAUUAGGCAUGCAAGUCGAGCGAGAAGUGUAGCAAUACACGGAAAGCGGCGGAAGGGAGAGUAAUACGUGGGAAUCUGCCCUUAGACCUGGGAUAGCAGCGGGAAACUGCUGGUAAUACCAGAUAAUGUCUAUGGACCAAAGGUGUGAUUCCGUCUAGGGAUGAGCCCACGUCCUAUUAGCUAGUUGGUAGGGUAAUGGCCUACCAAGGCGAUGAUGGGUAGCGGGUGUGAGAGCAUGACCCGCCUCACUGGGAUUGAGACACUGCCCAGACACCUACGGGUGGCUGCAGGCGAGAAUCUUCGGCAAUGGGCGCAAGCCUGCCCGAGCGAUGCCGCGUGCGGGAUGAAGGCCUUCGGGUUGUAAACCGCUGUCGAGGGGGAGCAACUUCCAUAGAGUUAUCUUUAUGGAUUGAGUGGUCCCUGGAGGAAGGACGGGCUAAGUUCGUGCCAGCAGCCGCCGUAACAC
rnacentral:rRNA from 1 species